rnacentral:misc_RNA from 1 species
GAUGAAGAACGCAGUGAAAUGCGAUAAGUAGUGUGAAUUGCAGAAUUCAGUGAAUCAUCGAAUCUUUGAACGCACAUUGCGCCCUUUGGUAUUCCAAAGGGCAUGCCUGUUCGAGCGUCAUUUAUACCCUCAAGCUUUGCUUGGUGUUGGGCGUCUUGUCUCUAGCUUUGCUGGAGACUCGCCUUAAAGUAAUUGGCAGCCGGCCUACUGGUUUCGGAGCGCAGCACAAGUCGCACUCUCUAUCAGCAAAGGUCUAGCAUCCAUUAAGCCUUUUUUUCAACUUUUGACCUCGGAUCAGGUAGGGAUACCCGCUGAACUUAAGCAUAUCAAUAAGCGGAGGA